CGUGAGAAACCUGCCCCGGAGACCGGAAUAGCCCAGGGAAACUUGGAUUAAUGCCGGAUAUCCUCGGAUGGUCGCAUGGUCGACCGAGGAAACAGUCCGCUGCUCCGGGAUGGUCUCGCGGCCUAUCAGCUAGUUGGCGGGGUAACGGCCCACCAAGGCGACGACGGGUAGCUGGUCUGAGAGGACUGUCAGCCACACUGGGACUGAGACACGGCCCAGACUCCUGCGGGAGGCAGCAGCAGGGAAUUUUGCACAAUGGACGAAAGUCUGAUGCAGCGACGCCGCGUGGGGGAUGAAUGCCUUCGGGUUGUAAACCCCUUUCAGGAGGGACGAAGCGAAAGUGACGGUACCUCCAGAAGAAGCCCCGGCCAACUACGUGCCAGCAGCCGCGGUAAUACGUAGGGGGCGAACGUUGUCCGGAUUUAUUGGGCGUAAAGAGCUCGUAGGCGGCUCAGCAAGUCGGCCGUGAAAGUCCGGGGCUCAACCCCGGGAUGCCGGUCGAUACUGCUGUGGCUAGGGUCCGGUAGAGGAGAGUGGAAUUCCCGGUGUAGCGGUGAAAUGCGCAGAUAUCGGGAGGAACACCAGUAGCGAAGGCGGCUCUCUGGGCCGGUACCGACGCUGAGGAGCGAAAGCUAGGGGAGCGAACAGGAUUAGAUACCCUGGUAGUCCUAGCCGUAAACGUUGGGCACUAGGUGUGGCGGACUCAUUGACGUCUGCCGUGCCGCAGCUAACGCAUUAAGUGCCCCGCCUGGGGAGUACGGUCGCAAGGCUAAAACUCAAAGGAAUUGACGGGAGCCCGCACAAGCGGCGGAGCAUGCGGCUUAAUUCGAUGCAACCCGAAGAACCUUACCUGGGCUUGACAUCAUGGGAAAUCCUGCAGAGAUGCAGAGUGCGAAAGCGCCCAUGACAGGUGGUGCAUGGCUGUCGUCAGCUCGUGUCGUGAGAUGUUGGGUUAAGUCCCGCAACGAGCGCAACCCCUUUCCUAUGUUGCCAGCGGAUUAUGCCGGGGACUCAUAGGAGACUGCCGGGGACAACUCGGAGGAAGGCGGGGACGACGUCAAGUCAUCAUGCCCCUUAUGUCCAGGGCUGCACGCAUGCUACAAUGGCAGGUACAACGGGCUGCGAUCCCGCGAGGGUGAGCGAAUCC
rnacentral:rRNA from 1 species